CCUGCAGCUUGGUGCCACUCUAUUCAUCCAACCUGUUUGGAUUCUCCACUCAGGCCAGUUUCUUCAUGUCUUUCCAUGAUCCAAGAAGGUGUUUCACCACCUGCUCUGUUCCACACACAAAAAAGGGAAACUGCCACAAUUCCUUCAAAAAAUUGUUACUCUACCAAAGGCCUACAGAAAAGCCUGGAUUAAAAUGAGAUAUAGGUCACAAGAAGAUGAGAUCAACUUUGAAGCCA
rnacentral:lncRNA from 1 species